rnacentral:snRNA from 1 species
AAAUGAGAGGGUGAUCUGGCUGUGACAUCUGUCACCCCAUUGAUCACCAGGGUUGAUUUGGCUGAUCUAGCUGGCUAGCUAGGUGGGUUUUCCCUUCCUCCUUCACUGCUCCAUGUGCAUCCCUCCCAAAGCUUCAUGCUUCAAGAGUUUGACCUUCCCUGAAGAGAGACAAACUGGUUUCUAGUUUUUGUAGCUGUGCUCCUCUGCUAGAACCUCCAAACAAGCUCUCAAGAUAGAUAGAUAGAUAGAUAGAUAGAUAGAUAGAUAGAUAGAUAGAU